AAUAAUAAUAAUAAUAAUAGAUUUAUUGCCAUCAAUAAAUAAUACAUGGCGCGUCAUAUAAUUAUGUACAUGUAAGUGUAUAUGGGACAAUACAUACAUUUAUUUUAAAUCUGGAGGGUUAUCCAGGAACUCUUGGAUAGAAUAAUAACUCAUUUCUAAUAGUGCGUCCUUUACCUUCUUCUCAAACAGAGCCGGAGCUAGUCUCUUCAUCGGGUCCUGAAGCUUGUUAUAAAGCUUCGGGCCCCAAUGGUCAAUGCUGUGCUGUGACACUUUAAGCCGAUGGUACGGUGUUGAGAGCGCGUCAGCGUGUCUUGUGUUAUGCUCGUGAUAUGAGCCAUUCUUGAUGAACUCGUGGAGGUGGUUGUGGACGUACCUCAGACAGCUCAAUAUGUACGCGGAAGGGAUGGACGAAGAUCUUGUCAGCAUCUGAUGAAGUACCCCAUAGAAGUAUACCAUAGGUGGCUUUGCUGUGGAAGUUAGCAAAGUAUGUCACCCUUGCAGCUUGGGGAGUUGAGAUAUUCUUGAUUCUUCUGAUACUGAAUAAAGCUGAUGCUAGGUUUUUGCAGGUUUCCUGAAUGUGGUCCUUCCAAGAUGCUUUGCUAUUUAGGUAAAAUCCCAAGAAUUUUACCGAUGUGACGUUGGUGGGUUUUGAAGAUAUAAAUAGUUCCUGAGUCUUGUCUCCAUUGAGUUUCAGUUUAUUUGCUGUGAACCAUUCAUUGGCAUCUUCAAGGAUUUUUCUCAUUUUUGGUUUUAGCGUAUCCUCUGUUUCUUCUUUGAUGCAGAAGGAAGUGUCGUCCGCAUAUAGACACUGUCCAUCCACUCUCAUAUUGAUAGGCAAGUCAUUUACAUAGAUUAUAAAUAGCAGUGGACCGAGGAUUGAUCCCUGGGGCACUCCACACCUUGUUGGCAGAGGCUUUGACCAUUUUUCAUUCCAUUUUACUAUCUGGGUUCUAUUUUCAAGGGAAGAAUUUGUCAAAGGCAGCUGUCAGAGUUGUAUGGAAGACAGUGUAGGCCUCUUUUGCAUUACGGUGUUUGAAGACACGAGCCCACUCAAUUCCGGUUAAGUACUCCUUAAAGUAGUUCUUGCACUGGGUUCUUAAUCUUCAGGACUUGACAGUAGUGAUCAGACAUGCACCAACUUUUUGUCUCUUUUGAGAAGAUUUCUUCUAUGUUAAUAUUUGAAAAUAUAUUAUCUAUGCAGCUAGAAGAAGUUUCAGUUGUUCUAGAUGCCUCUCUCAUUAGUGGUUGCAUACCAUAUGUUGUGAAAGUUUCGAUUAAUAAAGAUUGUUCGACGCCA